ACGAACGCUGGCGGCGUGCUUAACACAUGCCAGUCGAACGGAAAGGCCCUGCUUUUGUGGGGUGCUCGAGUGGCGAACGGGUGAGUAACACGUGAGUAACCUGCCCUUGACUUUGGGAUAACUUCAGGAAACUGGGGCUAAUACCGGAUAGGAGCUCCUGCUGCAUGGUGGGGGUUGGAAAGUUUCGGCGGUUGGGGAUGGACUCGCGGCUUAUCAGCUUGUUGGUGGGGUAGUGGCUUACCAAGGCUUUGACGGGUAGCCGGCCUGUGAGGGUGGCCGGUCAGACUGGAGGUGAGACAGGGUCAAGACGCCUGAGGGAGGCAGCAGAGGGGAAUAUUAGGCAAUGGGCGGAAGCCUGAUACAGCGAUGCCGCGUGUGUGAAGAAGGUCUUCGGAUUGUAAAGCACUUUAAGUUGGGAGGAAGGGCAGUAAGUUGAUACCUUGCUGUUUUGACGUUACCAACAGAAUAAGCACCGGCUAACUUCGUG
rnacentral:rRNA from 1 species